UACGAAGGGGCUAGCGUUGCUCGGAAUCACUGGGCGUAAAGGGUGCGUAGGCGGGUUUUAAGUCAGAGGUGAAAUCCGUGGAGCUCAACUCCAGAACUGCCUUGAUACUGAAAGUCUUGAGUAUGGGAGAGGUGAGUGGAACUGCGAGUGUAGAGGUGAAUUCGUAGAUAUUCGCAAGACACCAGUGGCGAAGGCGCUCGACUGGCCCAUAACGUGACGCUGACGGCACG
rnacentral:rRNA from 1 species